rnacentral:misc_RNA from 1 species
UGUUCAUGGGAAGACUUCAACAGCUGAAAAAAAUCCAGACCCAAAGUCCGAAUCUUCAAUAUUAAUGAUUCAUUUUGCAGAACAAAAUAAACUUUACUUGACAAUGGUUGCCAGUUUUCAAAGAGAUCCCUCAAUUCAUCAACAGAUUGGCCCAAUUCAUGAAAUGCCUUAUUAAGCACUUCAUCAGAAGCUAUUUCGGAGUCAACAAUGGCAUCAAGUAUUGGCUUCAACAGCUUCAAUAUCUCUUCUGCCUUCUGGCCAAUACUUCUGAACCAGGUCCAAGCUUAAGUUGUCAAUGGAUGAUAAACACAAAAAACAUGAGAUGUUAUUGAGAAGUGCUUUCAACAAUGAUAUUUCCAUCACACCUUGUCACGAAAAAACUUGUUAUUUGAAACACCAAAAUGAUGUCUCA